GAUGAACGCUAGCGGCGCGCUUAAUGCAUGUAAGUCGAACGAUGAAGUCAGGUGCUUGCACCUGAGAAUCAGUGGCAGACGGGUGAGUAACACGUGGGUGACUUGCCCCUCAGACUGGGAUAACGAGUGGAAACACUGGCUAAUACCGGAUAGCCUUAUGACGUCGGAGUGAUAAGGAAAGGUUACGACCGCUGAGGGAGAGGCUCGCGGCCCAUCAGCUAGUUGGUGAGGUAACGGCUCACCAAGGCAAAGACGGGUAGGGGGUGUGAGAGCACGACCCCCCACAAUGGGACUGAGACACGGCCCAUACUCCUACGGGAGGCAGCAGCAGGGAAUAUUGCACAAUGGACGGAAGUCUGAUGCAGCGACGCCGCGUGAAUGAAGAAGGCCUUCGGGUUGUAAAAUUCUUUUAGUGGGGAAGAGGGAGGACGGUACCCGCUGAAUAAGCGUCGGCUAACUACGUGCCAGCAGCCGCGGUAAGACGUAGGACGCAAGCGUUAUCCGGAUUUACUGGGCGUAAAGCGUCUGUAGGCGGAUGGGUAAGUUGGGCGUGAAAGCUCCGGGCUCAACCCGGAGAGCGCGUUCAAUACUGUCGAUCUAGAGGAGGUCAGAGGGGAGCGGAAUUUCCGGUGUAGCGGUAAAAUGCGCAGAUAUCGGAAGGAACACCAGUGGCGAAGGCGGCUCCCUGGGGCCCACCUGACGCUGAGAGACGAAAGCUAGGGGAGCGAACAGGAUUAGAGACCCUGGUAGUCCUAGCCAUAAACGAUGGAUGCUAGGUGUGGGAUCGAAGAGGUUCUGUGCCGGAGCAAACGCGAUAAGCAUCCCGCCUGGGGAGUACGACCGCAAGGUUAAAACUCAAACGAAUUGACGGGGCCCCGCACAAGCAGCGGGAGCGUGUGGUUUAAUUCGAUGUUACACGAAAAAACCUUACCUGGGGAUUGACAUG
rnacentral:rRNA from 1 species